UUGAACGCUGGCGGCAUGCUUUACACAUGCAAGUCGAACGGCAGCGGGGGCUUCGGCCCGCCGGCGAGUGGCGAACGGGUGAGUAAUGCAUCGGAACGUGCCCAGUCGUGGGGGAUAACGCAGCGAAAGCUGUGCUAAUACCGCAUACGAUCUAAGGAUGAAAGCGGGGGACCGAAAGGCCUCGCGCGAUUGGAGCGGCCGAUGUCAGAUUAGCUAGUUGGUGGGGUAAAGGCCCACCAAGGCAACGAUCUGUAGCUGGUCUGAGAGGACGACCAGCCACACUGGGACUGAGACACGGCCCAGACUCCUACGGGAGGCAGCAGUGGGGAAUUUUGGACAAUGGGCGCAAGCCUGAUCCAGCAAUGCCGCGUGCAGGAAGAAGGCCUUCGGGUUGUAAACUGCUUUUGUACGGAACGAAAAGGUCUGGGUUAAUACCCUGGGCCCAUGACGGUACCGUAAGAAUAAGCACCGGCUAACUACGU
rnacentral:rRNA from 1 species